CGCAAGCCUCGUCAGUCAAGCGCGAGGGGCGCAUUCUUUUCCCAUGGACUUGACGGAUCCGGAACCUCUAGGACCCCGGAGCCUGAGAAACAAAUCAGAAACGGGGAGAAACCUGGCUGGGACCCCCUACGCCGUAGCAACAGCAGGUCCUCCGCUUGACGGACGCUUCGGACCACCAAUCCGAGUGGCCAAUGCUUUUUAAAACUAAAUUGAGCCAAGCCCAUCAUGGCCGUGGAGCCGGAGCCGUGAGGGAUCCAAUAGGGUGGCGAGCUGGCCGGGCGGGGCGGGGGCGGCGGGGGACACCGGUGGUGACGUGAGCCACAAUAUGCGCCGGCUGCAAAGGGCACAGUCCAUCCCAGGCUGGCGCUGAUCCACGG
rnacentral:lncRNA from 1 species